GCAGGAGGCUGAAAGGAGGCUACUUAUUGUAGGAGCUCGAUCGAAGAUCGAUUAUCAUGGGAGCUUGGAGUAACGACCUGGCCGGUGGAUCCUGCCCCAUGGUAGAAGCUCGUCUGGGAUCCGGCUAUGAAGAAGUUCGGCUGAAGUCUACCUGUAAUAGAAGUUUAGAAGAAAUUUGUUUAUAGUAGAGGCUCGAAUGGAAU
rnacentral:lncRNA from 1 species